UACGUAGGUGGCAAGCGUUGUCCGGAUUUACUGGGCGUAAAGCGCGCGCAGGCGGCUGGCUAAGUCCGAUGUGAAAUCUCCCGGCUCAACUGGGAGCGGUCAUUGGAUACUGGUCGGCUUGAGGGAGGCAGAGGAGAGUGGAAUUCCCGGUGUAGUGGUGGAAUGCGUAGAUAUCGGGAGGAACACCAGCGGCGAAGGCGGCUCUCUGGGCCUUUCCUGACGCUGAGGCGCGAAAGCGUGGGGAGCAAACCGG
rnacentral:rRNA from 1 species